GUAGGAAGCGUUUAGACCGUUUGUCCACCGCAAAAUGAAGCAACGAGGAAGAAGAAACGUCACUUCCGGUGACGCAGUAAUUUGAGGGGACCAGCGCGAAAGGAAAUGUUUUAUGUAGUUUAGUUGGAAAACAAAGACAAUUCUGAUGUGUACGACUGGAGACAGUGGAGAAAUAAUCAUCCUCAGUGAUGAUGAUGAUAAUGAUAACAACGUGUCACGCACUGAAGCUUCGGUCCUCAUUGUCGAGGUGGAGGACGUGAAGGAGAAUGAUGUUGCGUUACCUCAAAGCCUUCUGGACGAAGACCUGGUCGUCACCUUCUCUCGUCGCGCUGAGGUGCUGCCUCACGCUCGCUACGACUGCGCCACACAUGCGUUCACGGCCACAGACUGUGAGACCGGAGCGCCUGUGGACAGUAACCAGGCGUUCUGCGAUAACUGCUUCUGCUACAUCUGUGACAAGCUGGCGUCUCUGUGUACAAUGUGGUGUCACAGCGGUACCUGCCACUGCAACAGCCACAAAAGGAGUGAUUUCUGGAACAACCUAAGGAACGACGGUCUGUUGGGAGGACUUAAGAAGUUCAAUCUCUCUCUUUCUGAAGUAGACCUUCACCUACGGCAGGCAGAGACGAUGUUGCAGAGCUUCAGACAAGAGUUGGCUGUACUUUUCUCCGCCUUCGUCAAAGGAAAGACGUUAGAGGAAUAUGGCCUGAGUCUGCAAAACCAGCAAGGCAUCAUCCAUGAUUACCGACCUGUGUAUGAGUUUGUAUCAUCGUUUCUGAGCGAAGCGAAUAGACACGACACCAGAGCUGCUGCCAUCAUGCAACUUGGAGCCACUGAAGAGUUUAUUCGACAUUUUCACGUCACGGGAAGUUACCCCUUACAGUGUUCCAUGUCAAACGCUGCUGAGGCCAAAAUAUUGUUGCUGCAGAGGGUUAUAUCAUCAGUGCAGAAACAGAUUGUAAUGGGUGAUUUCACUCCAUCAUUCAGCUGCAAAGUGCAGGAUUUCUACAAGCAGUUAUGCCUCCCCACUGAUCUGAGGAGCAUGAGGAACAGCCUGUGCAUUCGUCCCUGGGAUGACGUCCUGCUCAUGUCUGUGAUGAAGGGACAAAAUGUGUUGGGUGUUCGGAAAGAUAAAGGCAAGAAAGAUGUCCUGGUUGAACAGAGUUCUGUGGUUCUGUUGAGAACAGAAUUACUACAAGAACAAUGCAGGUACAAAGAAUUGUACCGCUACCUACGUGUGGUCCAGGCUGAUGAUCCUACACUCUUGCAGCAGCUUCAGGACCUCAUCCCUUUUUUUAAGUGCAUGGCUGGAGACUUGAAGUCUGCCGUGGACAGCAUGUUCCCGUCGGUGAAGGCCCCAGUCACCCGGCUCACUCCUCCUCUCUUCACUGUUUAUCUCUGCAUCUUUGAAACAGCCACAGCACCGAAGCUGGUGGUGAGUCAUCUGUCACAGCUCUGCCGUUCAGAUGCGACAUGGCAACCAAUUAAAGACGCCGUUCCACUGAAGCGAGCUGAGCUGGUGAAGUUUGCUCUCAGGUCUCAGAAACUCUGCUCUGCUGUGUUUGCUGAUUCUCAGUGUUGGGCUCAUUUGCUCUCAAUCGCCAACACGCGCACGGCUCUACCAGAACCCAGCAAACGGUUGCUGAAUGAAGCAACGCUUGCUGUAAAUACUGCACUCCAGAAUCCGGACGGGUCCAACUUACAGAUCCUACAGAUCCCACACUUCAUUCAGGAAGUGGAGCCAGAUCAGUCCUUGUUACUGUUGGCAACAGGUGCUUUAUGUUUGAGACUCUAUAGUGGAGCCUUGAAUCCUGUGGUCCCUGUGCUCAACACAUUUAAGGAUAAUAUGUGGGCUCUUCGGUGGCUGUGGAGUUGUCUGGGGCUACGCCUCAAAUCAUUUUUCCAGGAGAUCAGAGAGGAGGUGAAAAACACAACAGAUACAAUAAGCAGCCUUUUCACCAUGUUACUCACUCUCUCUUCCUCAGCAGAGAACUGGGACCAGUGAGUCACAUUUAAUUUAUUUUUAAGUACCACAGUCUUUAGUUAGCAAAAGGUAUGGCUCUGAUUUGUCCCUGUGGCUUUUACAUGUCUUCUCCUGAUGUGGUGGUGGUGAGCAGCACCUGCUUGGCUGCAGAACUGUUCUCUCCUGUGAAGGCCCUGUUUAAGAAUUUUCCAUGGCUCAAGGACGCUGUUGAGAGGACUGACGACUGCUGAGAGCUAAUGUCAGUAAGAGACAGGCUUCAAACUCACCCUAUCCAUCAUUCAACAAAACCUUGGACACUUUAUUGCUUUAUUCUUUAUGAUGUGAUCAGUGUUUGAUUAGUAGUGGUGGCAAAAGUUGGACAAGUUUAAUUCUGCACUGUGGGUUACUUUAUUUCAAUAGAAUUGUGAUCUUGUAUAUCUAGAAAUGUACACGAGGGGCAAUUAUGCUACAUUAAGUAAAUGAAAAACUGGCGGUUUUAUUGACCACUCUGACAAAGGUUUUGUUUUCUGAACUAAUUUAAAAUGUACUCCAAAAUAUAGCUUUAUUACCAAGAUGUACAGCAUAUCAUUACAGUAACACAUCUACAGUACAGUGUGGUGUUAAAGUACAUUUAGUCCAGGUUUGUUCUCAUGCAUCUCAGGUGUAGAAACUGCACUGGGUAAUUUUUAACUUGACAUUUAUAAAUUAUACAAUUUAAAAAUAAACAUUUAGGAUUGUAACAUGUCUCCUUCGUCUUUCCCUCAAUUUAUAGCAAACUAAGUUUAUAAAAUGUUUAAAAAGGAAAAGCUUCGAAACGUAUUAGGAGAUAUGAAAUAAUCAGUUACCAGUAAUAACCACAAAGACUGUUGUAAAGACCAUAAAAGAACUUUUUGUUUUUUUACACUAUUACAUUUGUGUUUUAGUGAAAUAAAGGAAUAAUACUUUCCAGUUACUAACAGA